UACGUAGGGCGCAAGCGUUGUCCGGAAUUAUUGGGCGUAAAGAGCUCGUAGGCGGCCUGUUACGUCUGCUGUGAAAUCCCGGGGCUUAACCCCGGGCGUGCAGUGGAUACGGGCAGGCUGGAGGCAGGCAGGGGAGAACGGAAUUCCCGGUGUAGCGGUGAAAUGCGCAGAUAUCGGGAGGAACACCAGUAGCGAAGGCGGCACUCUGGGCCGUGACUGACGCUGAGGAGCGAAAGCGUGGGUAGCAAACAGG
rnacentral:rRNA from 1 species